rnacentral:rRNA from 1 species
CAGUGGCGAACGGGUGAGUAACACGUGAGCAACCUGCCCCUGACUCUGGGAUAAGCGCUGGAAACGGCGUCUAAUACUGGAUAUGUGACGUGACCGCAUGGUCUGCGUUUGGAAAGAUUUUUCGGUUGGGGAUGGGCUCGCGGCCUAUCAGCUUGUUGGUGAGGUAAUGGCUCACCAAGGCGUCGACGGGUAGCCGGCCUGAGAGGGUGACCGGCCACACUGGGACUGAGACACGGCCCAGACUCCUACGGGAGGCAGCAGUGGGGAAUAUUGCACAAUGGGCGAAAGCCUGAUGCAGCAACGCCGCGUGAGGGAUGACGGCCUUCGGGUUGUAAACCUCUUUUAGCAGGGAAGAAGCGAAAGUGACGGUACCUGCAGAAAAAGCGCCGGCUAACUACGUGCCAGCAGCCGCGGUAAUACGUAGGGCGCAAGCGUUAUCCGGAAUUAUUGGGCGUAAAGAGCUCGUAGGCGGUUUGUCGCGUCUGCUGUGAAAUCCCGAGGCUCAACCUCGGGCCUGCAGUGGGUACGGGCAGACUAGAGUGCGGUAGGGGAGAUUGGAAUUCCUGGUGUAGCGGUGGAAUGCGCAGAUAUCAGGAGGAACACCGAUGGCGAAGGCAGAUCUCUGGGCCGUAACUGACGCUGAGGAGCGAAAGGGUGGGGAGCAAACAGGCUUAGAUACCCUGGUAGUCCACCCCGUAAACGUUGGGAACUAGUUGUGGGGUCCAUUCCACGGAUUCCGUGACGCAGCUAACGCAUUAAGUUCCCCGCCUGGGGAGUACGGCCGCAAGGCUAAAACUCAAAGGAAUUGACGGGGACCCGCACAAGCGGCGGAGCAUGCGGAUUAAUUCGAUGCAACGCGAAGAACCUUACCAAGGCUUGACAUAUACGAGAACGGGCCAGAAAUGGUCAACUCUUUGGACACUCGUAAACAGGUGGUGCAUGGUUGUCGUCAGCUCGUGUCGUGAGAUGUUGGGUUAAGUCCCGCAACGAGCGCAACCCUCGUUCUAUGUUGCCAGCACGUAAUGGUGGGAACUCAUGGGAUACUGCCGGGGUCAACUCGGAGGAAGGUGGGGAUGACGUCAAAUCAUCAUGCCCCUUAUGUCUUGGGCUUCACGCAUGCUACAAUGGCCGGUACAAAGGGCUGCAAUACCGUGAGGUGGAGCGAAUCCCAAAAAGCCGGUCCCAGUUCGGAUUGAGGUCUGCAACUCGACCUCAUGAAGUCGGAGUCGCUAGUAAUCGCAGAUCAGCAACGCUGCGGUGAAUACGUUCCCGGGUCUUGUACACACCGCCCGUCAAGUCAUGAAAGUCGGUAACACCUGAAGCCGGUGGCCUAACCCUUG